rnacentral:rRNA from 1 species
AGAUUGCAGGCUGCAACUCGCCUGCAUGAAGUUGGAAUUGCUAGUAAUCGCGAAUCAGAAUGUCGCGGUGAAUACGUUCCCGGGCCUUGUACACACCGCCCGUCACACCAUGAGAGUUGGGAAUACCCGAAGCCUGUGAGCUAACUGUAAGGAGGCAGCAGUCGAAGGUAGAAUCAAUGAUUGGGGUGAAGUCGUAACAAGGUAUC